AGGGUUUGAUCCUGGCUCAGAUUGAACGUUGGCGGCAGGCUUUAGACAUGCAAGUCGAGCGGUAACAGAUCGCUAGGAUCCCUUCGGGGUGACUUUGAUGCUGACGAGCGGCGGACGGGUGAGUAACGCGUAGGAAUCUACCCAGUAGCGGGGGAUAGCCCGGGGAAACCCGGAUUAAUACCGCAUACGCCCUACGGGGGAAAGGGGGGGCUCUCUUCGGAGACCUCUCACUAUUGGAGGAGCCUGCGUUGGAUUAGCUUGUUGGUGAGGUAAAGGCUCACCAAGGCUACGAUCCAUAGCUGGUCUGAGAGGACGAUCAGCCACACUGGAACUGAGACACGGUCCAGACUCCUACGGGAGGCAGCAGUCGGGAAUAUUGUGCAAUGGGCGAAAGCCUGACACAGCCAUGCCGCGUGUGUGAAGAAGGCCUUAGGGUUGUAAAGCACUUUCAGUAAGGAAGAAAAAGCCGAGCCAAUAACUCGGUAAUAUGACAUUACUUACAGAAGAAGCACCGGCUAACUCCGUGCCAGCAGCCGCGGUAAUACGGAGGGUGCAAACGUUAAUCGGAAUUACUGGGCGUAAAGCGCGCGUAGGUGGUUUGUUAAGUGGGAUGUGAAAGCCCCAGGCUCAACCUGGGAAUUGCAUUCCAAACUGACGGACUAGAGUACGAUAGAGGGAGGUAGAA
rnacentral:rRNA from 1 species